GACGAACGCUGGCGGCGUGCUUAACACAUGCAAGUCGAACGGUAAGGCUCCAGCUUGCUGGGGUACUCGAGUGGCGAACGGGUGAGUAACACGUGGGUGACCUGCCCUGCACUUCGGGAUAAGCCUGGGAAACUGGGUCUAAUACCGGAUAGGACCGCACCGUGAGGGUGGGGUGGAAAGAUUUUUCGGUGUGGGAUGUGCCCGCGGCCUAUCAGCUUGUUGGUGGGGUAAUGGCCUACCAAGGCGGCGACGGGUAGCCGGCCUGAGAGGGUGGACGGCCACAUUGGGACUGAGACACGGCCCAGACUCCUACGGGAGGCAGCAGUGGGGAAUAUUGCACAAUGGGCGGAAGCCUGAUGCAGCGACGCCGCGUGAGGGAUGACGGCCUUCGGGUUGUAAACUCCUUUCACCAGCGACGAAGGGUUUCUGACGGUAGAUGGAGAAGAAGCACCGGCUAACUACGUG
rnacentral:rRNA from 1 species